GGGGAUUUAGAUCAGUGGCAGAUCGUCUGCUUUGCAUGCAGAAGGCCAGCGGUUCAAUCCCGCUAAUCUCCA